AUGGCACCCUGGGUCGGUUUGCAGGCACGGCACAUGGCCGCGCCUUCUUCUUCGGCUUACAUGAGGCCACGCAGCCACCGUGGCCGUGGAAUUUGCGCUUCCUCG
rnacentral:rRNA from 1 species